CCCCUGCAUAUUUUCAAAAACAAUGAAGCCAUUGCAUAGAUUGAAUUAGCAAUUCAUCCUCCUUAGUAUCCAAACAAAUCCACUAAUGGUUUUAGGCCAUUUACUUGCUCUUUUAAGAGAAUCAAGCAUUGCAAGUAUAUUGUCAUUUGUCAUCCCAAAUUGAAAGUAACAAGUAUGAGGAUUGAGUUCGGGUUCAUUGAGGAGGAUUAAUAAAUCUCUAUAAGGAGAACCAGACGAACAAACAAAAAUUAGAGUUCAUUUCUGUCAAAAAAAAAAAAGAAUGCAAUAUAGGUAAUCAUAAACCAAUUUCUAGGUAUGGACCACUUCACCUUUUCAAGCUAAUUAAAGAAAGACAUUCCACGCAAAAACCAAAAUGCUCAAGUAGUUUAAGCCCAAAAUUCAAACCUGAGGUUAAAUAACAACUAUCAAAUCAAAUCCCCAUAGUUCUUAAAGAAAAAAUCUCUACAGUUGGACAAAAUUAAUUAUUUAUUUUCUUUUUUUCAGAUCAAAAUGUCCUACAUUUUAUAAAAUUAAAUUCUCUAAUUAACCUUGAUAGAAGUCUUUUUUUUUAUCGCUAAAUUAGACUAAUUUUAUGAACUUAUUAUCCCGAGUCGGAAUAAGUAGGUCCAUUUCUCUUUUGCUUACCUCUAUAAAGAGAAGAUGGAAUUUUUUAAGCUUUUAGCAUACUGAGCCCAGCAAAAUAUUCUUCAAUUUAUUUUUACCUUAAAUUUUAUACCAUUUAAAGUAUGCAAGUUUAACUGUUCAUACAAUUUAGUACUUUUAAUUUAAUUAUUUUACUUGAUUUUUACAAAAAAGAACUUGUAAUUUAAUUUACCCUAUCAAUAAACUAAGCUAAUGGAGUUAAUGUGCUUAAACUUGGAUCUCCCAUUCAUCAUUUCGUGCAAUAACAAAUGCUACAUUGAACAUUAUGAAUUAUAAUUCCUAGAAAAGAGAUUAAUUGACGUUAUCUGAGAAAAAAAGGGGGAAAAGGGUACUAAAAUUUGUAAGGAUACCUGU
rnacentral:lncRNA from 1 species